rnacentral:rRNA from 1 species
UAACACGUGGGUAACCUACCCUGAUGAUUGGGACAACCCGAGGAAACUCGGGCUAAUACCAAAUGUGCCCUCUGACCUCAAGGUCUGCGGGGAAAGGAAGCUUCGGCCUCCGCAUCGGGAUGGGCCCGCGGCCCAUUAGCUUGUUGGUGAGGUAAAAGCUCACCAAGGCGACGAUGGGUAGCUGGUCUGAGAGGACGAUCAGCCACACUGGGACUGAGACACGGCCCAG